UAGAAGACCCAGCAGUAAGGUUAUUGAUAUAGAUUAGUAUGGUAGAAGACCCAGCAGUCAGGUUAUUGAUAUAGAUUAGUAUGGUAGAAGACCCAGCAGUCAGGUUAUUGAUAUAGAUUAGUAUGGUAGAAGACCCAGCAGUCAGGUUAUUGAUAUAGAUUAGUAUGGUAGAAGACCCAGCAGUAAGGUUAUUGAUAUAGAUUAGUAUGGUAGAAGACCCAGCAGUCAGGUUAUUGAUAUAGAUUAGUAUGGUAGUAGA